UUAUUUUGGUUGAACUUCCUGUUUUCCUUGAUUCCCUGGUCUGGCUUGACUGUGUUUCAGAGCACUCUCCCUCUCCCCGGGCGCUGAGGCUGAGCGAGACUCCACACCUGUGCUGCAUCAAGGCCCUUUACGAAGCCAGCAGCCCUCAGUCUCAGCGCCUGAGUAUUGUCUUCGCUCCUGAGCGGUACAGACGCUUCUCCCGGCCUUCUCCUCGGCUAAGUGCUCGUGAUUUUUGCUCCCUGUGAUUCCUCAUACGUCUUCUCACCUCUUUCUCUUCUGCUUCUCCACAGUGUCUCCAGCCCACACAUCA